rnacentral:rRNA from 1 species
GAUGAACGCUGGCGGCGUGCUUAACACAUGCAAGUCGAACGAGAACCACCGGAUUGAGGAUUCGUCCAAAUGAAGGUGGGGAAAGUGGCGGACGGGGGAGUAACGCGUGAGCAAUCUGCCUUGGAGUGGGGAAUAACGGCUGGAAACAGCCGCUAAUACCGCAUGAAGCAGCUGGGAGGCAUCUCCCUGGCUGCCAAAGAUUUAUCGCUCUGAGAUGAGCUCGCGUCUGAUUAGCUGGUUGGCGGGGUAACGGCCCACCAAGGCGACGAUCAGUAGCCGGACUGAGAGGUUGGCCGGCCACAUUGGGACUGAGACACGGCCCAG